AACAAAAAAUUUGAAGUUUCUGUUUGAAAAUAUAGUCAGAAAUUCUAUUUCCGUAGCAAAGACAAAAUAUAUCUUCAAAUAUCAGCGAAUCUCGCCGUCGGAAGUAUUCGUUUCGUCCAAAAAAUGAUCCCUGAAAAUUUUCAAAAAUCAAGACUUGCGUGACAUAUUCUACAGUACCUUCUCAUACCGUAGAAAGAUUUUUUGCGAAAUUUUUUUCAAUAUUUUAGUGAAAUAAUGCAGUUUUUACAAGCGCAAUGUCGAUAUCUAUUCAAAUAUGUCGAAUAAUGUCUGGAAACAUGUUCUAAAAUGUUGGUCCCACUGUCUUCGUUGUGUAAUUAUAAAAAUUUCGAGUUUUGAGAAUAUUUUCCAAGGAUUUAUUUCGAAAUGCGGCCAAAAAUUUCACUUCUUCGUCAACGGCCACCACCCGACGGCGACGCGCUCGGAGCGUAAUUCUCACGUCGCGCGCGCCACGGGUUUGUUUCGUGAAAAUAAUCGUUUUAAAAUGAGAUAAAUUAGCAAAAAAUUAGCGAAACAUGUUCCCAGAUGUCUGCCGAAUCCGUAGAAUCGCGUCACUGAUCGAUAUUCACAUUUUUCGAAAUCAUAUCAGCCGAAGUAAUCACCCAGCGCGCUGCGACCAAUCGACCGUAGAACUUUCUCUCGUAAAAUAAACUAGAAAAAAAUUGAUUUCAGAAGAUUUAUCAAGUUAGUUUCUUUCUUUGAAUCCCAUGAGUGAUUUCCUGACGAAUAACCGCACUUUUAUCACGGAUUUUCGAGUACACCAGGUGAAUUUUGAAGUUUAAACGGAAUUUUUCCCUCGUCACAUGAAGUAAAAUGAAAACUCUUUCUUCCGAUUCAUUGAAAAAAUUAUUCGUUUCUAUAUCCAUGGUAAGCCCAUACGACACAACAACAAGUUUAUUGUUAUAGGUAGAAUUGUCCAAUCGCGGUAGGUACCACUUUCGAACGAAUUCAAGCUUAUAUAAAUUUGAAAGAAUCAACGAAAUAAAUUACAUCGGAUUUUCCGUUAGCGUGUCAAUUUUAAUUCCCAGAAAACCUUUGAAAACGAAGAACCUUCAUCGCGUGAUAACAACCGAAUACAAACGAAAAAACAAGAAAAAAUCAAAAACAAAAACACCAAACCGAACAACAGAAGAUUAAAAACCCAAAAAGGUGCAGAAAAAAAAUCAGAAUCGAAGAAAAAGAAUAAAAAAUACCCAGUAUAAUUGGAGUAAAUUCAGCAAGGCUUCUGCCAGCAACCCUUUCAGGCACACAAAAUGGCGACGGGUACCGCCCUCGUACAAAAAUUAGGCCUCCUUCCAUUACGAGCUGAUCCAGUGGUACCUGCAGAAACGCCAUCGUAAGUAUACCAUAGAGCACAUACCUUUGUGCAUACAAUAUUUAUUUAAUUAUCAUUUCUCGCUGUUUUUUAGACGCGUGCAGAUGUAUUAUUUAUUUAUUUUUCGGUUUUCUUCAUCUUUGUAAAUUUUAUUACCAUUUUUUUUUGCUUACAAUUUCGUAUCAUCUGCACAUUAUGCUGUAGGAAUAAUUAUGUAAAAUAAAAUAAAUUCCUCACAUACGUAGAAUACAUCAGCCGGUUAUGGCGUCGUCGCGGUUCAGAUACGUAAAGAAAGAAAUCAAUACUUUGCGUCUCUGCAUUUUUUUUUUUGGACUUUCUUUUUUCAUUUUUCGAGAGUGAGACAGAGAGAGAGAGAGAGAGAGUUUCCCGUUCGUCGUACGUGUCACGUAGUGUGUUAUUUAAUUGAGAAAUUUCAUUAUGUUCACCAUCACUUAAUUUCAUAUUAAACUUUGUUACAAUAUAUAUAUGUACUAUACGGUACUUGCAGGACACGUCUCAAGUCAUUAUCAACGAUUUUCAAAAUGUCAAUUGAACGUAAACGUUACACGUAUCAUCUUUUUCCCUCAUUCCUCCCGCUGGACACAUUUUUCAGUUCUUGCGAGCGCAAAACUAGUCAUCGAACGAGGUGACCGGCUACUUUCAAUACCGAUGUGAAAUGACGUUAUAAUUGACUGAAAAAUUCAUUCAUUAUAUUUUAUGUUAUCAGUUGGAAGUGGUGUGUCGCACGUACACGUCAGUAUUACACAUAGGUAUAUAUCUAGCUAUCUCCAUAGACUGGGUUCACCCAUAUACCUACUACUGUUAUAGGUGAUAAUUGGUUGUUGACCUUCAGCAUUGACCUCAAAGCAGGGCAACUGCACCGCCACUCUAUAUACGUAUACCUGAACACGUGUAUGCAUAUAUGCAACGGUACAUAGAAUACAUCUAUACAAAACCCAUACAUUGUCGAUACAUAUACCCAUAGUCGCGGCAGAGCUAUUAAUCGAUUGGAAUAUUGUCACUGCUACGGUCAAUUCGAUCGAUAUUAAAGCAUCGAUGUAUAUAUAUAUACAUGUAUAUAUAUCCUCGAUGUUUUAUCGCGCACAGAUGUAUGACGUGUACAAAUAUAAAUGUCUCCUCGUUCACUUCCCUCUUUUUUUUUUGUUUUACCUUUUUUCUUUUUUCUUUUCUUUUCACGGCAAUAUUUCGAAAUUUUUUUACGAUCACACGUAGCGAUACGUGUCUACAUAAUAACACUUCACAUCGAUGUCCAUAAACAGUCACUUUUAUUCAAAUACGCAUGAUACAUCAUUACAUUUUGGUACACAUAUAGAUUUACCUUUGAUGGAAAUAUAUUGAUAACGCUCCCAGACCGAAACAAUCUUCGGUACAUAGCGAUAUCUCGUACUGCUCGAUUUUCGUAACAUAUUUAUUUUUGAUUAUUAUUGUUUCCAUCUUUUUUGUCCGUCUCUCCUGCGGGUCGGAUAUAUUUUUUCAAGCCAUGAGCGGUAAUUUCACGAGUACGUAUACGCCAUUUUGUGAAACGCACAGGCGGUGGUAACUCCGCAUUCUUUUCUCCGGGAUAAAAUACAU